rnacentral:lncRNA from 1 species
UGUAUACUAACCUCUAGAUUUCUUUCAAUUACAUUAAGUUUUGCAUUGGACUGAUUGCUGUUCAUGUAAUAUCUGACAAUGUGGCUUUGCUCAUAGUUGAAGGCUGUACAGUGACCUUUGGUUGUACAUUCAGUUUUGCAUUGGACUGAUUGCUGUACAUGUAAUAUCUGACAACGUGGAAUGUGAGUAACAGCUAUUGGCCAAAGUUCAAAUAAAACCCCAUAGCGGCAUACUGCAUAAUCCACUGUAAACGAACAUUUAUAGCUGACUAUGUGUAAGAUAUUUGCUUUACUCAUAGUUGAAGGCUGUACAGUGACCUUUAGUUGUUAGUCUCUCUGUCAUAUGGUCUCUUGUAGAGAGUUGUCUCGUUGGCAAUCAUACCACAUCUCCUUUUUUAUAUGUACAUUUAUGUAACCUGUUCAUAAUGCGAUACAAUUUAUAUUGAUAAGAUCUAUUUAAAAAAAAAGACAUGGUGAUUAUUUUCAUAGGAUUGAUAGUCAUGAUAGUGGUACAACUGUAUAAGGACUGAAAUAAGAUCAAAUAUAUAUAUUUCUGCUCAACAGUUUUAUGAUAAAUCAGUUGCAGUAGGUUGUUUAAGGUAGCAGCAUUAUUAACAUUGCAUAUCUUUUUGGGGUCUGCAAUCAAUAUAUUGCUGUAAUUUGAAUUUGAUUCACAAUAACUAAUUUGAAUCAGAUAAAUUUCGAAAUAUUUGACGUCCAAAUGUAAAGUCUUACACAAAUUGCAUUGCACGUCAAAUAUGCGUCACUCUUGGAUCGAUCAGCGUGACCUUUCAACAUUAUCAAUUUCUACAAUAACCCACAUUUCCUUAUUGGUUUUUGUGAUGUCAAUGGAAGAAUUAAGUUCCUGCGGAAAUGUCAUGUGUUAAACAGGAUAGACCAAAUAGAAUUUUAGGUUGAUGUUGUGAAUUUAAACAGUUAAAUAAAUUAUUAAUGUUAACUAUAUUAAGAUUGGUUUUGAAUUUGUUCCUUUUUCAAACCACUCUAAGUGAUAUACAUUAACUUGACACUGAAUAAAAACAAACCUAUGGCAUCAGAUAAUUUGUAUUGUGAUGUCAAAAUAUUAUGGGAACCUGUGUGAUGUCCAGUAUUGCAGUAAUUAUGGCAGACAAAUAUCAAUAUGGUGCAUAGGAAAACAUAAUAUAACACCUCAUCACAAAACCAGGUUCAACCCACCAUUUUUUCCUUUAAAGAUGUCCUGUACCAAGUCAGGAAUAUGGCCAUUGUUAUAUUAUAAUUCGUUUCUGUGUGUGUUAGGGAGCUACCAUUUGAUUUUUAUGGGGGGGCUAGGAUGAAAAAUUUUGUCCUGCAUUUUUUUUUAGCUGUAAUCUCUGUCCUGCCUUUUUAUUUUUCACUCUGUUCGGUCCUGCCUUUUUUUUUUUAGUUUAUCCUGACUUUUUUUUACCUAAAUUGUCGUCCUGACUUUUUUUUUUGCAAGUGUCUCAUCCUGCCUUUUUUUUUUUACUCAAAACUCCUGUCCUGCCUAUUUUUUUCAAAUUUCAUCCUAGCCCCCCAUAAAAAUCAAAUGGUAGCUCCCUUACAUUUUAACGUUGCGUCGUUUGUUUUCUCUUAUUUUUGCGUGUAAAUUCACAUUGCGAUAAGACGUGUCACGC